rnacentral:rRNA from 1 species
CGAACGCUGGCGGCGUGCCUAAUACAUGCAAGUCGAGCGAAGUUUUUCUGGUGCUUGCACUCGAAAAACUUAGCGGCGAACGGGUGAGUAACACGUAAAGAACCUGCCUCAUAGACUGGGACAACUAUUGGAAACGAUAGCUAAUACCGGAUAACAGUAUUUCUCGCAUGAGAGAUAUUUAAAAGUUGGUUAUGCUAACACUAUGAGAUGGCUUUGCGGUGCAUUAGCUAGUAGGUGGGGUAAAGGCCCACCAAGGCGACGAUGCAUAGCCGACCUGAGAGGGUGAUCGGCCACACUGGGACUGAGACACGGCCCAGACUCCUACGGGAGGCAGCAGUAGGGAAUCUUCCGCAAUGGGCGAAAGCCUGACGGAGCAACGCCGCGUGAGUGAAGAAGGAUUUCGGUUCGUAAAGCUCUGUUGUUAGGGAAGAAUGGAUAUGUAGUAACUAUACAUGUAAGAGACGGUACCUAACCAGAAAGCCACGGCUAACUACGUG